UGUUCGGAUUGCGUCGACGAUGGCGGUUCGCCGCCGUCGACGUCGUGAGAAGUUCAUUGAACCUUAUCAUUUAGAGGAGGGAGAAGUCGUAACAAGGUUACCGUAGGUGAACCUGCGGUAGGAUCAUUG
rnacentral:rRNA from 1 species